AUGGGAUUCGACCGCGAUGCAGGCACGAUUGUCCCCUGCUCGUAUCGAGUCGAUCCGCAUCUCAGUCGAGAGAGUCAAAGAAGGCCAGUCACUCACUGUCAAACAAUUUCAGAGAUUGUUGGGUCUGAUGGCAGCUGUGUCCAACGUGAUACCUCUUGGCCUGCUGUACAUGAGACCCCUACAGUGGUGGCUCAAGACCAAGGAUUUUCCCCGAGGGGCAAUCUACUUCGCACUAUCAAGGUCACGCGGCGCUGCCUCCGUGCCUUAGACAUGUGGAAGAAACCUUGGUUCUUGAAACAGGGCCCGGUGUUGGGAGCUCCUUGUCGCCGUGUAACGCUAGCGACGGAUGCAUCCCUCACCGGCUGGGGUGCAGUCAUGAGUGGCCACCCUGCCCGUGGUCUGUGGAGUGAUCGCCAUCUAACAUGGCAUGUCAAUUGUCUAGAAAUGCUAGCAGUUUAUCGUGCACUGAAGCACUUCCUCCCAGACCUAAGGGGUCACCAUGUGUUAGUGCGCAUCGACAACACAUCGGUGGUCUCUUACAUCAACCACCAGGGAGGUCUGCGUUCACGCCCUUUGUUCAAGCUGGCGCACCAGAUCCUGGUGUGGUCCCAGAGCAAACUCCUCUUAUUAAGAGCAGUAUAUAUUCCUGGGAAACAAAAUAUGGGAGCAGACAUACUGUCGAAGCAGGUGCCGAGGCCCGGGGAAAGGAGACUUCGCCCAGAAGUAGUGAAGCAGAUAUGGAGAGUAUUUGGCAGGGCUCAAGUAGACCUAUUUGAAUCUCGAGAGACGUCACAAUGCCCCCUUUGGUUCUCUCUAGUUCAUCCUGCUCCUCUGGGACUGGACGCUAUGGUACAGACCUGGCCGAGGCUUCGUCUGUACGCAUUUCCCCCUAUUGCUCUGCUCCCGGGAGUUCUAGCGAGAGUGCGCCGGGACGGGGACCUUCUGAUGUUAGUAGCCCCGUUCUGGCUGGGCCGAGUAUGUUUCUCAGAUCUAGUCUCGCUCCUCAAUGGCUCUCCGUGGGAGAUACCGAUCAGGACAGACCUACUCUCGCAGGCGCAGGGUACGAUAAUUCACCCUCGCUCGGAGUUGUGGAAGCUGUGGGUGUGGCCCCUGAGGGUGCACAACUGUUAG
rnacentral:lncRNA from 1 species